rnacentral:rRNA from 1 species
CCAGCAAUAUCACCCUGAAACCGAAGACCAGUUACUCACUAAAGCUAAGCAGAGCUAAGCCUGGUUAGUACCUGGAUGGGCGACUACAUGGAAAAACUAGGUUUCUGCUGGA